GCAGACCUGCUGCCCGCGGCCAGGCCGGGCAGCUGUUGAUCCCCGGGCCAUUCUUUUAAAGCCCAGGCAGAGCGCGGGUGGGAAGCGUGCGAGGAGAGCUGAGCCAGGGAGUUGCGGGGAGGAGAAGAAUUAGAGGAGACAGCACUGAUGGGAGUGACAGAAGCGGUGCCGGUUAACUCCCCACCAUCAAAAGUAUCUUCUGCUGUAGUCUGGCACAAGGCACAACAGAUUCCUGUAGUGAGCUGCAUGCAAGGAAGAAGCCUGGUAGGAGUGAAAGGUUAAUAGCCAAGAAAGAAAGAAGGAAGAAGAAAACAGCUCCCCGUACAGAGACAGAGGAAGGGGGGAUUUGAACAAAGAAAAAACCCCGUGUGCGUCGGAAAAGUGGCUGCUUAUACGUAUCCCAAAUCUAAAGGAAGUUUUUUUUUUUUUUGAGACGGAGUCUCGCUCUGUCCCCCAGGCCGGAGUGCAGUGGCGCAAUCUCUGCUCACUGCAAGCUCCGCCUUCCGGGUUCACGGCAUUCUCCUGCCUCAGCCUCCCGAAUAGCUGGGACCACAGGCACCCGCCACCACGCCCGGCUAAUUUUUUGUAUUUUUAGUAAAGACGGGGUUUCACCGUGUUAGCCAGGAUGGUCUUGAUCUCCUGACCUCGUGAUCCACCCACCUCGGCCUCCCAAAGUGCUGGGAUUACAGGCGUAAGCCACUGCACCCAGCCAAUCUAAAGGAAGUUUUAAAAGGUUACUUCCUUUUGAUUUCUGUUAAGAAAAGGGAGUGUUUAUGUGUUUGUUUCCAAAUAUUAUUUCUCAGCUGAAAAUCCAUUUUUUAAAACACUACCUUAAAAGUUCUUCUACCACUCCUGUGGAAAUAUAUGAGCCCAUCUUCAAGAAAUAACAGUUUGAAAUGUGAAAACUUAAGCUUUCCUUUAAGAAAGAGGAAUAUGAACUAGAACGGCAAUGAGGCUUCUGUGUUGUUGUUGUUUAUUUUUUGACUAGCCUUGAUUAAAAAGGGAACAAUUGUGUACUUCUGGUUAGCCUGGGGAAAGUUACAGCAGCCUAAAUUCAAAUCUCUGCAUAUAUCAACCAACAAGUAGAGCAAUACAACCACAUACAUGGCAAAAAAACUUCAAAUUACCUAUGAAUCGAAAAGGAGGCAACGAAUCUAUAGAGUUAUACCUCAAGUCCCUGACCUAAGCCUUUGCAGAGAAUGAGGGGAGACCCAUAGAAGGAUAAAGAAGAAAAGGAAAGACAGGGGUCAAAAUUGGAAAUAAAAUAACCCAAGAAAGAGAAAAGUCCAUCCUAUGUGUAAAAAGAGCUCUGGGAGAUUGGUAAAUGGGAGUACAGAGCAGGGCCUAAGAGUGAGUAGGGACAAAAACACUGAUGUUAGAAAGGCAUCAUUUCUGGAAAGAAAGGAGGAUAAAAAGGGGAGUGCAAGAAGGAAAAAGUAUCCAGCAGGAAAAAUGAGAACCCAAACCAAAAGACUAUCCAUCACUACUGCCAUCAUGCACAAAAAAAGAAAAAAGUUAUUCAUUGAAAAAAAUCACACUAUGCUACAUUUUCAGAAGAGGUUUGCACUUGGACUAGAAAACACAAAAUAAUUAAUAGAUGAAAAAAUGCCUAUAUAAAUAUCCAAAGCUUCUUUAAAAAGAUAACAAACAUGAAAGUCAAAUAUUUCAGCUAAUGAAAUCCACACCACUGAACGAUAAAAUCUCACAAAACAGAAGAAAAUUAUGCAGAAUUAAAAGUUGAACUAAAUAUCCUCAAACGAGCAUUCAGAAAUAUUAAAAAAGCAAUUUAAACAAGAAAUUCAAAAACCA
rnacentral:lncRNA from 1 species